GUGUAGAACAGAGCUUAUAAUAUAUAUUCUGAAACGACCUCACCAAGGACUAGCUAGCUUGGAGAAUUCCAUCUCAUGGACACUAACAACUUUCUAAAACAGAACAUGAUUUUUACCACAUGUACAGUUGCUGUAACAGUCUGACGACGCCUCCGCUCCCCAAAGACGGGUUCACCAAGGAACAACCUCAACAAAACUUGGACACAGCAAACUUCCUAAAACAGCCAAACAUUCUACCACAGCUGCUGUCUGUCACAGGUCAUGGCUGAAGGUAUCUGCCCAAAGACUGGGUUGACUUAAUUAGGGACAUCGCCAACAAUACUUGGAUAACACCCCCUCAGAUCCAUUGCUUGUGGGGUUCAUAUGUGGAAAGCUAGAUCCUGAUGACAGUAUUAGAAGUGUGGCGUAUUACAUCUUAAACAUAACUGGUGUUCCUGGAAUGGAUACAUGGUAUCCAGGUGUCUAGCAUCCAGGGUUAAUUGACCAAGUUAUAGACUCCCAUAACCAGUUGUGUCUUCUAAGCCAGGCCUGGACUAGUGGAGGAUAUCAAAAAUUGGUGUAAUGCCCGAUUCCUGGCAAAAAAAGCUGGUCCAUAAAGGGUUGAGCUCCUCAGUGUCUCCAUCUGUUCCAGUAGAAGCUCAAUUAGACCGCAUAGCAAUAGACAUUCUGGGACAUUAGAGACGACAGAAUAUGGAAUUACUGGAAGGGGAUUAUUUAUCUAAAUGUGUAGAAGUUGUACACCUACAACAUGACCACAAUACACAAAUAGAAGCUUACCAGCUUAUAACAGAACUUAUUUGUAUAUUUGGUAUCGUAUCCGUUUAUAGAUAGAAUAAGGUUAUGAGUUCGAAUCUGACCUGUUUAAAGCCAUUUGUUAUUUUUGGCAGAUUGAUAUUAAAGAGAGACUACAGUAUGGAUGUACUUGACAUAAUGGUUCCGCCCCAGGAGAGAGAGAAGCUGAUAAUGAUGUUUGUCCAGCCUCGACAGAGAAUAUGUCGACCUGUCCAGUGGUAACUUGUUGGGACCAGAUAUACUAUAAUUAUUCACAGAUCAAGCUCCAUUGGAACAAGUCACUUCAACUUCAGAGGCAUAAAUUAAUAAUAGAGGACGCUAAAUCGUUCAGAGCAGCUACACAAUUCUAAGUUUGUGGAUCCGGGAAAAAAGUGACGGUCUAUCCUAAAGGUUUCACCUGAAAUGGCUGUUAGUGGAGAAGAGGCCACAGCUGGCAUAAGGUAGAAUCAUGCCAGUCUGUCACUAGUGAUGUCAUCUCACGGACUGUCACUGUGGCGCUAUUUGUCACUAGUGAUGUCAUCUCACAGAAUGUCACUUUGGCCCAGGACCAGGUGAUGUCACUAGUGAUCUAAUCUCACGGACUGUCACUGUGGCCUAGGACCAGGAGAUGUCACUAGUGAUGUCAUCUCACAAAAUGUCACUGUG